CUCUUUCUGUUCAUAAACAUUCUUCCACGACGUGCUGUGCUGGAAUCCCUGAGCCUGCUCUGGCCUGGGAGGCUGCCUGAUUUGCUAAUUGGUGACAUCAACCAAAGCCCUGAAAGUGAUUCUGGCAGAAAACGAACAUGUCUCUGCGAAGCAGGUGAAGAGCCCGAGACUUUGGAAUAGACACACUGGCAGCGACGGGGAUGAGACCUCACCAGGGAGGAGGUGCUAAGCCCAACUGCAGGAUGUCUCUGGGUGUCCUCCAGGCACCCCAGCUUUGAAGGCACCCCACCAACCCGGGAUCCACAAACGUUUCCGCCAGAUGUGCAGCCCUUGGAGCAAGUCGUGAAACAACUGCUUUGAAGAUGAAGAGCCCUCGGAGCACGCUAAGUAGCUGUAUUAUUGUCGUGCAGUGUGUGUCACCCUGCGGAGGAUUCAACUCCCAGCACUGUCACCGCUGGGGAAUUAGUGAAAGGCAAACUCAGCCGGAAAUGCCGAGUGCCAAAAAAGAGGAGCGAAUAAAAUGCUGGGGGUGGGAGGAAGGGGACGGUGGGUGCCUGAGCUUUGAAAUUCUGCCACUGAAAGUUCUCUCCCAUGGUUCCUUUUCCAACCCGCCCCGAGUGCAACAACUGGACCCGCCAUGUGACAGGCGCUGCAGACGGAUCGCGUUUCACACAUGCAGCUGUAAUAUCUGGCACACAGGUG
rnacentral:lncRNA from 1 species